CUCAUAAUCAGAAUCCCUGAUGUCCUCUGCUUCAUGGGUGGGAUAGACUGCCCGAGAGAAUCCCAGUUUCCUCUAUGGUCAUCCUGUUCACCGACCAGCCGCAUCAGAAUUAGCUGGUGAGAAAACUGAGGCCCAGGGAGCUAGAAGGUGGAGCUUCCAGAACUUAAAUAUGAGCUCUCUUGUUCUAGGUUGGGCAUUUUUCUGCUCCAUCAUGAACUGAGCUGCAAAAAGCCCAGAGGCAAGAUGCCAACACUGAGGAUUCUGGAAGCCACAUUCCAGAAGAAGCUUUUGAAGAAAUUGGAGAUGCUUGGCCUGAAAGAGAGAAGCUUUUAGAGGUGCUCAAGAAAAAAACUUGAGCUAUUGUCAAAUAUCUGAAACCUGUCAGAUGGAAGAGGGAAGAGACUUCCUUAUGGCUGUAGAGGGCAGAUCUAGGACUAAUUGACUGAAAUUGUGUAUGAAGCCAGAGGGUAAAUAUAAAAUCAUGUCUGAAAGAGUGACGAGGCUUGAGCCACAGCACCGUGUCCAGAGAGGUCAACAAAGUGAUGGAACCCAGAGCAAGAGAGAGCCAUCCCAGGGGUCCUCCUCUGGGACAACCCAUCAAGUCUUGGUUCAAGUGAAGCUGGCCUCGCUUUGCCAACACUGCCUGAAAUGUUGUGAUCCCAGAACUGACUCUGGUCAAGUUUGAUGAUGAGCUGCAUCACAUUAACUACUGAAUUAUUCAGGAAGCUUCUCUACUCCCUCGCAGAGGAAACCGAGGAGACCAUUGGAAACCAUUGAAAGGAAGCAGAGAUAAUUUGGGAAGCUACGUUUAGUUUCCUUAAGGCUCCCCCUUUGCAGGCUCUCUGGAGAUGGCUGCAAUUAAGCUCCCUGCCCUGCCCCCACCCCAGCAUGAAGGACUCAGUGGGCAGCUGUGGUUUUAUGAGUUUUUCUUGUGCGAACCUCAUUAAACUUCAGAUUCCUCAGGGUAAAAAGCAAAUGGGGAAUGAGAGUUGCCUGCCUGGGAGAUGCUGAGGUUAAACACUGAGCAAUAAAGCCAUUCACUGAUUUCA
rnacentral:lncRNA from 12 species